GGUUGUAAAGCUCUUUCGCACGCGACGAUGAUGACGGUAGCGUGAGAAGAAGCCCCCGGCUAACUUCGUGCCAGCAGCCGCGGUAAUACGAAGGGGGCUAGCGUUGUUCGGAAUUACUGGGCGUAAAGGGCGCGUAGGCGGUACUUCAAGUCAGGCGUGAAAGCCCCGGGCUCAACCUGGGAACCGCGCUUGAGACUGGAGAACUAGAGUUCGGGAGAGGAUGGUGGAAUUCCCAGUGUAGAGGUGAAAUUCGUAGAUAUUGGGAAGAACACCGAUGGCGAAGGCAGCCAUCUGGACCGACACUGACGCUGAGGCGCGAAAGCGUGGGGAGCAAACAGGAUUAGAUACCCUGGUAGUCCACGCCGUAAACGAUGAGUGCUAGACGUUGGGGCCCUUGGGGCUUCGGUGUCGCAGCUAACGCAUUAAGCACUCCGCCUGGGGAGUACGGCCGCAGGUUAAACUCAAAGGAAUUGAC
rnacentral:rRNA from 1 species